UAUCUCAAAUUCUGAUCUAAUCAUUCAAACUCUGAAUGGUUUGAAAUCUGAAUAUAAUCAUGUAAUUGUCAAACUAUCUGAUCAAACUACACUCAGUUGGGUUGAUCUACAUGCUCAAUUGCUAACCUUUGAGA
rnacentral:snoRNA from 1 species